CCUACGGGAGGCAGCAGUGAGGAAUAUUGGUCAAUGGACGGGAGUCUGAACCAGCCAUGCCGCGUGCAGGACGACGGCUCUAUGAGUUGUAAACUGCUUUUGUACAAGGGUAAACCUGAAUACGUGUAUUCAGCUGAAAGUACUGUACGAAUAAGGAUCGGCUAACUCCGUGCCAGCAGCCGCGGUAAUACGGAGGAUCCAAGCGUUAUCCGGAUUGAUUGGGUUUAAAGGGUGCGUAGGCGGAUUGAUAACUUAGAGGUGAAAUGUCCGGGCUUAACUCGGGAAUUGCCUCUAAUACUGGUAGUCGUGAGUGUAGAUGCGGUAGGCGGAAUGUAUGGUGUAGCGGUGAAAUGCUUAGAGAUCAUGCAGAACACCGAUUGCGAAGGCAGCUUACCAAUCUAUAUCUGACGUUGAGGCACGAAAGUGUGGGGAGCAAACAGGAUUAGAUACCCUUGUAGUC
rnacentral:rRNA from 1 species